GAAACAAACACAAGACUUACACCUAUCCCUUAAUUUCUCAAUUCACACUGUGAUGCCGGAAGGAGCUUCUCAGGAUUCAGCCAUGGCGGAGAUCUCUGAAGCAACAACUUCCUCCGAUCCACUAAACACUAAGUCCGAAGUGGAAAAUUUCGACCCUAAAACCAUGCGUAAAACAAAGCCUGGAUUGAAGCGUUUAUUUCUCACUCUCACUGUCUUCAUCUCUUUUCUCAUCGCUUUGCCUUUCUUACUUAAGUCCAUAGAGAUUUACCGAGCACCAUUGCCUUUUGAAGACAUAGAUUUACUUUCAACGGAAAUGGAGAAGAAUCAUUCGGUGUUCCCUUGCCAAUUUCAAGCUGUUUUUGUGAACUUCGAUGAGAUUACUGCUGUAAAUGAGCUUGGGCUUUUGAUCGAUUCUCAUAUGCAAAAACUGACCUCAGAAAAUUCUCCACCUUGUGGUACGUGUGGGAACAAUGUCACUGUGGCUGUAACAAUUGAUUCCAAUUCCAACUGUAUUCACAGGGAAAGUGGAAAUGGCAACGGUAAAUGGCAGUGUGGUAUGUUGAAUGGAUUUGAUAAGGUGAAUGAUCAUGAUGAGGAUUUUGAUGAGUAUUUGGAGUCAGUAUUGGAUAGUACGAGUAGGAAGGUUUAUACGGUUGUGGUGAUAAAUAGGAAGCAGGAGGACGUUAGAAUUGUUGUUGGAAAAUAUAGGCAUGCUUGGAUAGUAGGAAAUGAUUCCGUAGAGAAAGCUAUUGAGAAAAUGGCAGAGAUUUUUAUCAAAGUGUUUGUGAAUGGUGGGAAGGAAGAAGGAUCAAUUCGAGGGGAAUUCAUGCCAGUAGGUGCAGAUGGCAAGGUCGUGCUUUCUUUCAGUCUUUUGAAUUCUGAUCCACAUGAUUGGGUUUAUGAUUGGGAUUUUAAGGAGUUAGAUGAGAUUCUGCUGGCUCCCGUGGUCGAUGCUUUAAGACCAGUAGCUGACAUUAGUGUGGAAAGCCAGGUUCUAUAUCAUACUCCAAAGUCUUCAUAUUCAUAUUGGGAUGACACACAGGGUAGCUAUAUUUUCAGUACAAAAGAUCUUCCUUUCUUUGUAAAUUCAAAUGAAUGGCACUUGGAUACUUCAACAGCAGCUGGAGGGCGGUCAAAAGUCCUGCAUUUUGUGUUAUAUGUGCCAUCUGCAAAAGAGUGCCCUCUAAAGUUGCAGUUGCCAAAUGGAGAGAUUUCCAUGACAAAUGGUUUUAUAUCUCCGAUGUGGGGAGGUAUUAUUGUUUGGAAUCCACCGGCCUGUGUAGAGAAUUUUCAAAUGCAACAUCUUUCCAAGCACAAAAUUUCCUCUGAGGACUUGAAGAUGAUUUCUGAAGUUAUCAUGGGACAGUUGCGUCAACUAUUUGGUCUGAAGUCUGAGAGCUUUUACGCUGGUGGAUUCACCACAUCUGUACUUUUAACCAGUGACAAAGGCUUUGCAGAAUGGGAGUUGGAUGUGUUAUCUAGGCAUCAUACAUGUUUCAAUCUUCUUCAGUGUGGCACCACCCUUGGAUCUCUUUCUCGAUUGGUUCAGUCACUUCCCAGGAUGAUAAUCAUGGAUGAAAUAGGAAAACAGGUAAAGUAUUCUCUUGAAGCUGCAAAAUUAUCACUAGGCAAUGUGUCUUUAGGAUAUUCUGAUGCUUCUGCUGUUUCCUCGAGAAAAGCAAGAGCAUUAGCAGAGGAUGCCUUUUAUCAUCCAUCUAUGAUGUCCGUGAGCUACUACUCGUUUGAACACUGUUUUGCUGUAUAUUCGCCAUUCUUUCUGCCAGUUUCACUGCAUGUGCUUCUUGCAGUCAUUAGAGAAUGGAAAAGAUAUAAAGUGGAAAGCAGAAAGUACCUUUCAUGGAAGGUCAAGGUUAAAGUUGAGUAGUUUGUCAGAGUUGCAUAUAAAACCUUAGAGCGGAAGCACGAAAACUGGUGUCCAUGGAAAAAAAAAUUGCAGACGUUUAAAUGACAUAUUGAGAUGUGUACACUACAUUCCAUGAAGAUUUUAUUAAAAAAAUUGACUAGAUACAAAUUCACCUGUAUAU
rnacentral:misc_RNA from 1 species